AUUGCACUAUGGUCCAGAAUUCGUUUUUUUUGGCAUAAAGUCGAAAUUUUUAUGUGAAUGGAUUACGUUUUUUCUUGCAAAUUCUCAAAGUAAAUUCAUCAUACAUAUUAAAAAUGAAAAAAAAAAAAUUAUUUAGCUUCCCUGAAGAUUUUGGCGAGCUUUUGAAAGUGAACAAUCGAUCAGGUGAUUGUGGGAAAAAAAUUGGCGCCAAAUUACUUGUUUACAUUUUUACGUGGCGACCGAGUAAAUUUGCUCAAAUAAAUUCGGCUAAAAAUGGAAAAUGAAGAUAAAGAAAAUUUAACUGCGUCCCCUGUGUUUCGUAGAAUAUAACAAAUGAACUGAGUUCUGCUGAGAAAAACUAACUAUGUGAGUUUGUACCUACAAAUGUUGUAAUUGACUGGAAAGUAACAACUUUGGCCCGUUUUGGCCCCUUUUCUUUAAAUUUGUUAAUAUUCAGGAAAGUUCGAGUUUUUGCAUAGCGAUCUCAUCGAUAUUUGGCGCAACAACAAUCGACAAAAAAAAUCUGUCUCACAUUGGAUUUACAGUAAAAUCAAUAACAACCAUUUGGAAAAUGAAAAAAAAAGAGAAAUAGAUCAAAAAAAUCAGUAAUUUUGAAUCCUUCAUUAAAAGAAACCUUCUGAAGUGCAACAAAAUGAUGGAACGGUUUAUGACCACCCAUGCUAAAUGGAUGGCUUCUAAAAUAAUAAUUAUUGUUGAUGAAAAUUGUAAGACACCAAAGAAAAUGGGACGUCCAACAUUACAUUAUACAAAUGCAGGGACAAGAUUAAAAAGGAAACUGGCGUCUGAUCUUGCAAAUGAUAAUAAUAAUAACACGAAUCUUCUUAUGCAUGCUGCGGCAGUUUCUGCUAAGAAAGAACGCAAGACCGACGUGGCUUUUGUCGUAACAAAAACAAUUAGAACACCUGAAUACCCGACUGAAUCGAAAAAGCAUCUUCAAUUGCAAAAGCCCAUUCCUUUUCACCAGAGCUUACCUCCUGGAAAAUUCACUCAACAAACAGCAGUAUACAAACACUAGGCUUUUAAAUAAAAGGCAUAACUGCGACAUUUAUCCUAGCUAUAAUAAAGUAAUGGAAAAUUAGUGUGUAAUAAAUUUCCAUAGUUUAUAUAUAAAUAUUGAUAAUUUGAAAUAAGAUAUUAUAUAUGUAUAAUGAUUUAACAACAAAAUGUAAUAAAUUUGAAGUAUGUAAUUUAAACUUCCGACUUUAUGCAAAAAAAAAAACAAGAACAAGUACAAGUAUACAAGUAUAUGUGCAAAAUUUAAAAGCUCUAGCUUUAAUUUCGAGCUCUGUGUUAAACAAAUCUGAGGUGCUCUGGGGAAGGGGGU